CAGCCGCUCCUGCUUGAACCGCCUCCAUUCUCCAGAGGAGCAGCCGGACUCCAUCUCCUUCAACCAAAAAAAAAAUCAAACCAAGCAACACAAAAAUCCCCUCCAAAUCCGGAUCAGAUAAGAAAGGGAAUUUCAUCUAGAAGGCCUCAAAUGAGAUCUCCACCGAAUCCUAAACCGUUUCCCCUCUAUCUCUAGCUCAAAUCUUCAGUUGGAGAGAGAUUCGACCGGCCACGAAUUUCGAAUCUCAACAAACUCGAGUUCUAUCCUCUUAUCUCGAAUCCUCGCUGCUGCCUAUAUAAAGAGGGGAGAUCGAUCCAAUGAAGGAGGGAGGAGGGAGAUCGGCGAGAUAGAGAGAGAAGAGAUAGAGAGAGAGGGAAAGAGCACUUUUCCCCCUCCAAUCCAGUGCCUCGUCGUCGCUCCUUUUGCUCGCCGGAUCGCCAUGGCUGUCCUCGUCGACGCUUGUGCUGUCUUGCAGACUCGGAGACGACCUCGGUAUGACGACCACCAGCGCACUUAAUCGGAGGUAGCCCGAAGACGGGCGUAAUUAACCGGAGAGCUUCACGAAGCCCCGGGAACCAAGACAAAGCAAUCGCCCAGAUUGUGAAGAUAGUCAGAUAGCGUGUGCGUUGUGGAGUAAAAAUGUAUAUGAGAAACUGUACUUUAUGAUUUCGACAUGAAUGAAUAAAGUUACAUGUUUUCGAUUAUUA